UGGAGGGGAACACGGGGUUGGAGGGUUAGCGGGAUCCCCGCGAGGUGCCCGGAUGUGGCGAAGGUGGGAAUGAGGACGUGUUUCCGAGGCCAAGGCCCCUCUGGAGACCACCCCCCCAGCUCCGCCUAUUGGAGGCGUCCAAGCCCCUUUUCCCGCCCAGCUAGAGGGAAGGCGAGGGAGUUGGGGGACAGGUGCCAAGCAAAAGGAUUUGAAUUUUGCCCAGCCCGCCUUGCUCGGUGCUUGAGCAUCGAUCUGUGAACCAGGUUGGUUUCCGGUUAGGGAACAUGCCGGGGUUGCGGGCUCCAUCUCCAGUGGGGGGCGUGCAGGAGGCAGCCGAUCAGUGAAUGAUUCUCGCACCACCUCCUGUGCGUCCAGACCAGGGAUGGAACCGGAAACCUAGGCGUGUGCCCUGACUGGGAAUCAACCAAUAGCCUUUGGGUUCACGGGAGGACGCUCCAGCCAACGGAGCCACACCGGCCAGGGCAAGUGAUUCUUUAAGAUCUACCGAAGCGGAGUCACUGUAAGUCUUUAGAAUAAGCCUCAUACUGCUUACCUGCAGGAAGUUCAGUAUACCCUAUCAAUGUAUCUGAUUUUCACAGCAUCCACUAUUUGUUAUAACUUGUAACACUGACGGAGAAACAAUUUAGCCUGGAGCUGAAAGGAGAGGAAAUGUUUAGACCACACCCCCAUCAACUAGUAAUUUGUCAGUGUCUGCUUCUGGCUCAGGAACCUUGGCUGUAUCUUCCAAAGGAUGUCAUUUCUUUCUUUUUUGAUGGUUAAUAGUUUUGGAACAGAAACAAAGAAGUCUGGAUUGAGGAGUCCCUAGAAGUAGUGCUCUCCGAGUAGAACACUUCUCAAAAAUUAAUGCAUAGCCCGCUUGCAUCUACAAUAACUGCAUCUUUAACAGACUCGCUUGUAUUUUUACCAAGUGCCCAAGGUGAUUCUGAUACACAGAACAUUUGGAAACCUUUUGGACACAUGUAGGGUGACCAAUUGUUCUAGUUUAUCUGGGACUGGGGGUUUUUCCAGGAUGCAGGGCUUUAUAAGUGCUAAAGCCAGGGCAGUCCUGGGCAAAGUGGUGAUCAUCCUAGAUCCAUGUGAGUAUGUACUAUUAGAAAGAUGCUCUUGAUGCAGCCUGGCAUCCUGGGUUGCCUCAUUUCUAUUUGCAGGAUUUGUUUCAGUUAGGGGUGGCCAUGGAGAAGGGAUGAAAGUGAGGUGCGUUGCCAAUUCUUACUGAUUCUCCAGUCCAAACCCAUCCUUCACUGACCUGCUCGCAGUCCUGGAACAGGUCUCCUUCUCCGUCCGGCCGGGUGUUCAGUUUCAUCAGUAGAGGGCGCUGGAGGGACAUAGAGGAGGAAAGGGCUCUUCCUGAUUCCAGUGUGCGGUCUCAGCUGGCUUUGCAAUGCCUGGUGGCUAGCCGUGUUUGGCAGCUCUCUGUGGGCUGAAUCUCAGUGUUAGUUGAAUUUAGAGCCUUGUUAAGUUUCUCUUGUGAGGUUAAGGCAUUGACUGGGAAGGAAUGGGAUCCCAAAACUUGAAGCAGGCACUUAUGCUUGGGCCCGGAUGAAAGUGACGACCUUGAACAUCCAAGUCACCCUGAGCCUCCCUUGGUGGUGGAAGUAGCUUGCCCUUCUUUAUCUGAGGACACUUGGAAACCCUGUGCAACCCUCACCUGGAGCAGAUGACUUGAAAAAUACAGCCUUGGUCUGUGCUUCCUGGCAGCACCAACAGAGAAAAAGUAACGGUUUCAAUUAAACUGCGACAUGCAUCAGAAGGAAGAUCUGACAUGCAAGAGAGCUCAAAUGUAAGCAGUAUCCGGGCAAGAAGGUUUGUCUGCUGUGCUUGCUGCAGUUUCUCCGGCAUCCAGAAGAGUCCAUGGCACGUGACUGACACUCCCAUCAACACACACAGUGGUACGCCUGCCCGGAAGCUUUUGUAACAAGGAAGACAAGCUUGCUUAUAUCCUUUCAGGAUCACCUUUGGUAGGACCCAGGUUGCUUAUUUUUCAAUGACACGCAUACAAGGAGAGUAGACAACACUGUAAUAUGUGUUCAUGUUAGACACGUGUCCCACUUCUAGAUGUCUUCAUCCACAUCUCAGUAGAAAGAACAUCUACAUUUCCACAGGGAAUUUAAAGUCUGUCUAUAUGUAUGUGCUUUGCAGCAUGGGUGACAUAAACAUGCCAAUCUAGAAAUAUUAGAAUGUCACAAAGUUGUGAGUCCUUAAAAUUUAGUUUCCAACAUAUUCAAUAAUAAAGCUCCAAUACUUUGUUUUGACCCUGGAAAACUACAGAGCAAAGUAGCAGAAUCCAGGAUCACCUAAAUCUCGGGUAAUUUUUUAUGUCAACAGACUGAGGGAAUUAUAGUACUACUUAAGCUCAUUUCAUUCUCACCAGGUAUUAUCACAAUAAAUCUUUUCCUCCACAUUGAAUCAGCACCAUAUGUAUUGGUAUCGGAAUUAAUGUUCACUCUGUAUAAAGUUCAGUUCUAUUUCAAUGCAAUAAAUAUUAAAUGAAAAAUCAGAAUUCAUCUCUUUAGGGCAGGACCGCAUUUGAGGAAAAGGAGACUAAUAAUAUCACCCGUAGCAUUUACUUAUUUAUUCCCAGUGUACGUGGGACUGACACAAGGACAGGUCAGAACAGCACAUACCAUUAUGUGUGCAGGAUAAUUCCCCCCAUGCUAUUCCACUGAAAGGGCAACGAGAAAACAAUAAAUUGAAAUUUGCUUCCUAUGUUGUAAGGAGAGCUUACUCUACAUAAAUAACCAAUACUGUCUCCUACUCUGUGCAUUUUGGGUUCAAAGCUUACCCAGCACAUAUCAGACAAUCAAGUCAAUAGAGAAUAAGUCUCAAAUUUAUGCUUUACCAUGUUGAAGGUUUUAAGAAUAUGUUUCUCUUUUAGUACAAUUUUUCUUUUCAUGUGUCUGGAAACAUAGAUUUUCAUUUCAUCCUCUUCAACCUUGAGUGUCAAAUACACGAGGAAUUUCGCUAAGUUGAAGAAAUCAAAGCCGUAGCUCAGAAGUUUUGAGAUUGCUAAGGGAUUUCCUAGUCAGAAUAUAACCAUUUUCCAACUGGGGUAAAAGGAAAAAUAUUUUGUAUACCUGUAAGCCAAUCCCUCCCCUCUCUGCCAACUUUCCAGCAAUAACUACAUGAUAACCAUCAACCAACCAACCAGCGUGUGAAGGCAAAUGAAAUAUUGCCCAGGUCAUUGUGGUGUCAACAAAAUGAAAGAAAAAGACAAUGUUUUUCAAAAAAGCUGCCUUUAUUCCAUUUAAAUGAGUAUUCCUUAUUCUGAGAUGAUGUUCUUUCCACUUUUUGUAUGCUAUUAAAUGUCUUUUAUAUAACGAUGGUAA